CCCUUAGAUGUUCUGGGCCGCACGCGCGCUACACUGACGAAUGCAACGAGCUUAUAACCUUGGCCGAAGGGUCUGGGUAAUCUCCAAAUUUCGUCGUGAUGGGGAUAGAUUAUUGCAAUUAUUAAUCUUCAACGAGGAAUGCCUAGUAAGCGCAAGUCAUCAGCUUGCGUUGAUUACGUCCCUGCCCUUUGUACACACCGCCCGUCGCUCCUACCGAUUGAAUGGUCCGGUGAAGCGUUCGGACCGUGGCCUUUGGACGGUUCGCCGUCUGUUGGCUGCGGGAAGUUCGUUAAACCUUAUCAUUUAGAGGAAGGAGAAGUCGUANCA
rnacentral:rRNA from 1 species